GAGCUACACUGUUAAGGACCAAAUCUCAACAUGGAUUUUGGGGUGGGGAAAAUCACUUUGAAAUUGGGGCAGAUGGGAACCCGAGAGGGAGGUCACAUGGGGGGAGCUCACGUGUGCAGUGCCAUAGAAUGCCACGUGGAAGCACUUUCUCCCCAGCUCCGUGCUCCUGGCUCACAGGGAAGGAGAGACUGCACCUACAGAGACAAAAUGAAAGUGGAAUUCUCCAGAGAGCCUCAAGGAGCAAGGCAACUGGAACAGACCAGCAGGUGCCGUGAUUUGCAGGGAGAGUGCAGGAUUCUGCUCCCAAACAUGAGUCCUUCAAAAGGCAACACCUGCAUGUGCAAGGACACACCUUGCCUUGGACACUGCCCCGAACUGAAAACCCCAGAAGAAAGCCUCACAUUCAAAAAUCACAAAAUUUCCUUUUGCAUUUUUCCUUUCCUUGUUCUCUUCAUCAGUUUAUUGGGGUGUAAGGAUUUUUUUUCUUGGUCCUUUUUCCUUGCUUUUUAAUCUCUUUUUCUUACCUCCUUUUCCUCCCUUUUCAUUUUUCUCUCUUUUUACUCCUGAUAUAAUUUCAUUUUUUUUUCUCUCCCCACAUUUUUUUUUUUUGGAGACAAGGUCUUGCUUUGUACUUCAGGCUGACCUUCAGUUCACCGUGUAACCCAGGCUGUCUUUAUUUAUUUAUUGUUUUGCAGGGGGGUUGGGUGGGUACCAGGGAUAGAACUUGGGUCCUUGUGCUUGUGAAGGACAUGGUGGCACCCCUGAGCUAAAUGUCCGGCCCCUCCCGGGCUGUCUUGAACUCACAGCCUGUCUCAGCCUCUUGAGUCCUGGGGUUACCAGCGUGUGCGGCUAUGCUUAGCAUCCCUCUUUUUCUUUCUAAAUUAAAACAAUUAAAUAUUACAGUAAACAACAUAUCUCUCUCUUUCCUUCCUUCCUUCUUUAUUUCAUUCAUUUUUGUGGUACCAGGGAUCGAACUCAGGACCUCGCACUUGCCAGGCAGGUGUGGCACCACUGAGCUACAUCCCCGGCCUUUUUUUUUUUUCAUAGCACAACAUUUAUUGGAACGUUUUAGGCCUACAUAGUGACGGCACUCAUCAGAGGGAACGUCAGCCUGUGCACUGUACAUCCUGUCCCUUCUUUCCUAUCCACCCUUCCCUCAGGCCCCCUUCUCUCCCUAUGUACAAAAGCUUGGUUUCCAUUUUUCCUUCUAUUUUCUUGUUUCUCCUUGUCCCUCCCUUCCUUUCUCCUCCCUCCUCCCCAUCCCCCUUCCCACGGGAACAUUUUCUUCCCAUUUCCCAACCUCUAUUACACAUUUCAGUCCUUAUUUCCACUUUGGGUUUCUCACACCAGAGAAACAAUGCGGUAUUUAAACGUGUGUGCCUAAUUUAUUCCACUUAAGAGUAAGGUCUCAAGGUCCGUCCAUGUAGCUAUGAAUGUCUGAAGCUCAUCCUUCUUUAUGGCAGAAUAGUACUCCCUUGUUUAAAA
rnacentral:lncRNA from 1 species